GAUGAAGAACGUAGCGAAAUGCGAUAAGUAAUGUGAAUUGCAGAAUUCAGUGAAUCAUCGAAUCUUUGAACGCAUCUUGCGCUCCUUGGUAUUCUGAGGAGCAUGCCUGUUUGAGUGUCAUUAACAACCGUUUCGAUCCCUUUCUUUCAGAAAUUACAAAGAGGAAAAGGGUUUGGUUAUGGUGGAGGAGGGAAAGGGAGCGUUUAGCCUGUAAAAAAAGAGGCUGUGUUCCGCCUCCCCCCCAAAAUUGUACAGGCGGUCGUGUGCGCCCACGCAUCGAGGUGUUGUAAAAGCUGCCACGGCACUUUUCACCUGUGCAGUGCGAGAUUGGCCAGCCGGUUUAAAAACCCCUCCAAACAAUCAAAGGUUGACCUCGGAUCAGGUAGGGAUACCCGCUGAACUUAAGCAUAUCAAUAAGCGGAGGA
rnacentral:misc_RNA from 1 species